rnacentral:rRNA from 1 species
AUUGAACGCUGGCGGCAUGCUUUACACAUGCAAGUCGAACGGUAGAGGGGCAACCCUUGAGAGUGGCGAACGGGUGAGUAAUGCAUCGGAACGUGCCCAGUAGUGGGGGAUAGCCCGGCGAAAGCCGGAUUAAUACCGCAUGAGACCUGAGGGUGAAAGCGGGGGAUCGCAAGACCUCGCGCUAUUGGAGCGGCCGAUAUCAGAUUAGGUAGUUGGUGGGGUAAAGGCCUACCAAGCCUGCGAUCUGUAGUUGGUCUGAGAGGACGACCAGCCACACUGGGACUGAGACACGGCCCAGACUCCUACGGGAGGCAGCAGUGGGGAAUUUUGGACAAUGGGCGCAAGCCUGAUUCAGCAAUGCCGCGUGCAGGAAGAAGGCCUUCGGGUUGUAAACUGCUUUUGUCAGGGAAGAAAUCCUCUGGGUUAAUACCUCGGGGGGAUGACGGUACCUGAAGAAUAAGCACCGGCUAACUACGUGCCAGCCGCCGCGGUAAGAC